AACAGAGCGAAGAAUAUUCACGCUCACAGGAAAGAGAGGAACCGCGAAGCUCGCCAACGUUUUGUGACAAGACGCUACAUGUUAAGAAGCCCUGCGGUUUGCUCCUGUGGUUUAUCCUUGAGCUCCGUUCUCAACAGGGAGUCAAUGACCUGAGGGCCUUUGGACAAAGGCUUAGGCAUCCUUGUCUUUAGAAUUAACUGACUCCCAUUGGCACCCAGCGCUGGGAACUGCUGAAGGGAAGUGCUCACUAAGCCCGCCCCCUCCCCUCCCUCGAUGAAAAUGGCAGAGUCUAGGCCAGCUGACUGUGCUUCAGAUGCCUCUCUCUAUUUUUUAUGGCUACAUCCAUCAUCUACCUGAGAUCAAGAAACCACCCAAAUGUAACCCAAUAUUGAGAUCGUGGUGGUGUGAGCUUUUUCUCAGCAUGUUCGACCUGUCACGGCCACAGUAACAUCUGGUCCUCACAAAUCUUCCUGAGAAGAAGGUUCUUGUAGAUGGUUCAGGGCAUAGGAAAGCGUUUCUGAUACCACCUUGUUCAGAUUUAAUGGCCGUUUCCAUAAGACAAAGGCAUAAAGAAGAUAUGAAAUUUCUAAUAUUCUAGAAGUCAGCUUUAAGAAUUUCCGCUCACUCAUUACUUUACGCUAGAUCAGUCAUUCUCAACCUGUGGGUCGAGGUCCUUUUGGGGGUCACAUAUCAGAUAUCCUACAUAUUAGAUAUUUCUAUUGCAAUUCAUAACAGUAGUGAAAUUACAGUUAUGAAGUAGCAAUGAAAUAACUUUAUGGUCCGGAGUCACCACAACACAAGGAACUGCAUUAAAGGGUCGCAGCAUUGAGAAGGCUGAAAACCACUGACCUAGACAACUGUGGCUCUACCUUGGUCCCUGUGAAACCCUGUGGCAUUCACCAUUCCUUCCUCCCCAUACUGACUAACACACCCACCAGGAAAUACAUGACUAGAUUUCUUUCUGUGGUUCAGGUUGAAGCUCAGUGUAGAGAGCUUGCCCAACCAGUGUGAGACUUCUCCCUCUGUGACAGGAAUAAGAAAGAAACUUGUCAUCUGGAAUCAGUCAUAGAAGUCCAACACCCCUGAAAUGAAACUUAGCAUGGUGUCGCUGAUUUCCCAGGAAGAUCCCCCAAGAGCACCCAGAUGAACAUAAGUCAGCAACAGUGAGGAGAGUCAGCUCUGAACUCAAUGUGAACUCGGUAAAAACACAAGCUACU